UGGUCUUCAUUAUGUGCCCUUAGACAUAU
rnacentral:piRNA from 1 species